ACAUAUUGACGUAAUAUCAUCCGAUCUUUAGAGCUUCUAUGAUUGGAUGCGGUAAAGGUCGGGUGAGCGUUCGUAAUU